AGCAGCCGCGGUAAUUCCAGCUCCAAUAGCGUAUAUUAAAGUUGUUGCAGUUAAAAAGCUCGUAGUUGAAUUUCGGGGUUAGUAGGUUGGUCAUGCCUCUGGUAUGUACUGGUCUCACUGAUUCCUCCUUCCUGAUGAACCUUAAUGCCAUUAAUUUGGUGUUUUGGGGAAUUUGGACUGUUACUUUGAAAAAAUUAGAGUGUUUAAAGCAAGCUAACGCUUGAAUACAUUAGCAUGGAAUAAUGAAAUAGGACGUUCGAUCCUAUUUUGUUGGUUUCUAGGAUUGACGUAAUGAUUAAUAGGGAUAGUUGGGGGCAUUAGUAUUCAAUUGUCAGAGGUGAAAUUCUUGGAUUUAUUGAAGACUAACUACUGCGAAAGCAUUUGCCAAGGAUGUUUUCAUUAAUCAAGAACUAAAGUUAG
rnacentral:rRNA from 1 species